GAGGAAGAAAAGUUUGUGGUAGUACAGUCGUGUCCGGUUAUCGAAGCGUUACAAGAGAAAUUUAUACUUUUUUGUGCUUUCGUGGUAUUUUUCGUGCGUUUUAUAUCUUCGUCGAUCUUAAGAUCGAGUACUACGAGUGCAAGUCAUUCUGGCACCUGUCCUCAUCAUUGCGAUCCCGUUAAGGAUUCCACAACGAGACCUCCUCUCGCAGUAGCGCCUUUCGGAGGAGCUUCUCUCUCUCGACGACGACGAGCCUUGUUGGAAUUCAACUCCCGUUGUAGGCAGUGACAGACGCUUUUCAUUUGACGUUGCAAGAGUAAGGAUGACUGCCAUAAAUAUGUAAGUGAGCGAGGCUGUCAGAAUCCGGCGCAAGAAAAGAUUCCGGCCCGAAUACAUGAGCAGCCCGCUGCUUUGUCCCGCCGCUAAACGUCAGAAAUUUUCGCUUGAGUUCCGAAAUGGCGACAUAAUGGACCACGCCUACCGGAACCUCACCACACUCCUCGCGCAUGUCGUCGAUUGCGCGUCGAUAAGGCCUUACGGCGUGUCUAAAGUUUUAGCAACGCGGUACCCUUUCUCUAGCCCCUAUGCUACCAGAAGACGCGUGGGGGCGUUCAACUGGGCUCGUCCUAAUGACAGGGGUUAUCCCGGGACGAUAGAGGUUUUCAAGACGAAGAAACACAACCCAUUUGUCGUCAACAUGUACGCCCAAUUCUACGCCGGGAAGAGCAUCGACGAAAAUGCUUCGAUUCAGAAUCUGGUUUCUCAGUUGUGUCGGGUGUCGAAGAACGACCGCGCGAAGGGUUUGAGGAGCGACAACCACUUGAUAGAAGGCUUGGAGGAUGACACAGCAGAGAAUCGCCAACGCUGGCUCGAUAAAUGUCUGGGAAAGUUGGCGCAGUUCGUGCAAUUUGCUGAGGUCCGGACGGUGGUUUUCCCUUACAUGAUCACCAGUGGGUUAUCUCCGGGUGACUGGGAGAAGCAUUACCUUCCCGCCAUCGAGAACUUCCUCCGUGAACUUUCUAGCUGUAAAGUGAGAGUCAUCGUUUUAAAUAUUAAUCAGAAGAGUAUGAGGUAGAAGCUAUAGCUAAGAGUUCGAUCCAAUUGGAGACAUGACGGAUAUGCUGGAGAAUGGACAUUCUGAUGCCUUUUAAACUGCAUAUCUGUUGGGGGUCUUAGAAUUUCUUCGGAUGGAAAUCCUAGGACGAUUUUUAUGUAUAUAUUCUAAAAUGUCGUAUUUACUUUGUAUGUAAAUCUCCCUAUUAGGACGUUUUUGUAAACGAAAAAUUCAAAUAUAUUUUAA